GAACGCUUUAUGCGAUAGGUGAAAUGAGAGGGUAACGCCUUGAAGCACUUACUCUAAUCCUCCGAUAUGCGCUUUGGCGUAUAAAGCUCGGUGAAGUCGGCUGAAUACGAAAGUAAAUAAGCCGGGAGUCGUAAAAGCUUAAUAAGGUG
rnacentral:ncRNA from 1 species